rnacentral:rRNA from 1 species
CCUACGGGAGGCAGCAGUAGGGAAUCUUCCGCAAUGGACGAAAGUCUGACGGAGCAACGCCGCGUGAGUGAUGAAGGUUUUCGGAUCGUAAAACUCUGUUGUUAGGGAAGAACACGUACGGGAGUAACUGUCCGUACCUUGACGGUACCUGACCAGAAAGCCACGGCUAACUACGUGCCAGCAGCCGCGGUAAUACGUAGGUGGCAAGCGUUGUCCGGAAUUAUUGGGCGUAAAGCGCGCGCAGGCGGUCUUUUAAGUCUGAUGUGAAAGCCCACGGCUCAACCGUGGAGGGUCAUUGGAAACUGGAAGACUUGAGUGCAGAAGAGAAGAGCGGAAUUCCACGUGUAGCGGUGAAAUGCGUAGAGAUGUGGAGGAACACCAGUGGCGAAGGCGGCUCUUUGGUCUGUAACUGACGCUGAGGCGCGAAAGCGUGGGGAG